UAGUUCAGUUGGUUAGAAUACCUGCCUGUCACGCAGGGGGUCGCGGGUUCGAGUCCCG
rnacentral:tRNA from 2 species